rnacentral:rRNA from 1 species
UAGCUGGUGCCUGCUCAAACGAAUUUAAGUUCUCCCUUAACCCCUUCCCCCCAGACAAGGCCAAGCCCAAAUGUAACAGUUAAGGGCUAUUUAAAGGGGGUACAGCCCCUUUAAAAAAGGACACAACCUCCAUCAGCGGAUAACCCCCAUGCACCCAACCCUGUGGGCCUUAAAGCAGCCACCCCUAAAGAUUGCGUCAAAGCUCCGUCAACUAAAAACCUCAAAAAUCAAUGUGACUCCCUACACCCACAGCAGGCCAACCUAUGAUAAUAGAUGAGUCAAUGCUAGAACGAGUAACCAGGAUACCAUGUCCCCCCAAGCGCCAGCCUACACACUAUUAACAGCAAAACCUCAAUAAUAACCACCCCUCCUCACCAUUGAACACACCCUGUCAAUCCAACUCAGGGGCGCACACUGGAGUGAUCAAAAUCUACAAAAGGAACUCGGCAAACCCAAGACCCGACUGUUUACCAAAAACAUAGCCUUCAGCCAAACAAGUAUUGAAGGUGAUGCCUGCCCAGUGACACCAUGUUUAACGGCCGCGGUAUCCUAACCGUGCAAAGGUAGCGCAAUCAAUUGUCCCAUAAAUCGAGACCUGUAUGAAUGGCUAAACGAGGUCUUAACUGUCUCCUGUAGAUAAUCGGUGAAACUGAUCUCUCUGUGCAAAAGCAGAGAUAGACACAUAAGACGAGAAGACCCUGUGGAACUUCAAAAUCAAUAGCCACCCCACCCAACUUACUAGCCCACCCGGGCCCACUACCUAAAACACUGGCUAACAUUUUA